GGAGAGGUCGCAUAGAGGCUUAGUGCGCACGCUUGGAAAGCGUGUAUACCGGAAGGUAUCGCGGGUUCGAAUCCCGCCCUCUCCGCCA
rnacentral:tRNA from 2 species